CUUUUGAAAUAUGAUUUUCAUUACUAGAUAAUAUACAUGACUAUUGUUAAAAAAUUCCUUUAGAGUUGAAAGUUAAAAACAAAAAAACACGAUUACGUAAACUAUUUUAGACUUCAAACUUUUGUUUUCGUAUAGGUUAAAUUUUCCCAACACAAAAAUCUUUUCUAUUCUGGCUUCUGAGCUAGAACGAGCCAGUCUUUCGAUUCUAAACUAUAUUCCCUAAAACAAAAACUUUCAAUAGUAUAAUUUACCUACCACAAGUAACUUACAUUAAUAUAGACACCACCAUCUGGUGACGGGAUACAUACAUUUUUCAUAAUUAAUGGGACUAACUUUCCUUUCCUCUGUCAUUGUUUCACUACCUUUAUUAUGAAAUAAAAAGAAUGACCUUCAAAAGUGUUUUAGUUUGAAGAAGGUCUAACACAUUUUUCGUCAGUUUGGAAUGCAAUUGGAAACCUCUGAUAUGAUACUAUGUAUAUUUAACAUUCUUUAUUUCGUAUUUUAUGAUAAUUAGUUUAAAUUUAAAUACUUAUCACGAGAACAAAUGCGUUACGUGAAAAAAAAAGUUAUUCGUCAGACAAUAACGGCUAAAAUAAGAAACCUUAUUUACUUGUAUCGUGUACUUUUUAAUUAAGUAUAAACACUCAUUUUAUAUUUUAAUCGUUCACAACUUUUCUGAUUUUUUUUUUUAGUUAUCUAACUUUCUCAGGAAUAUUGGAGGAUCACAAUUUUAAUGCACUUAUUUUAUACAUUACCUGUGUCUAUAUAUUAAAAAUAAUAAAACCGAAAGUUUUAAUUAUAUCUCUCUCUGUCAAAGUUGUUCGUUACGAUUUUUAUUAUUUCUUAGGACUAUUCCUGCCUAUAUAAGUAGCUUACUGUAGUUCCACAGUAUUGGACAAUGGCGGAAAAUUAUUGGCUAGAAAAAUUGUGUAAUAUUUUGUGCUUCUGUAUACGAAUAUCUUAAAUAUUUUAAAAUUCUAAUCAAGCUGUAGAAACAUUUUGAACGGAAUGUUUUUCAAAUCGAAAACGUUAUAUCUUUAACAGCUAACAAGCCUAAUUUGGUAAUCAAAGAUUGUUUUGCACAAGAUUAAAAUUUAUAAUGCUGAAAUAUUAAUUAAACCAAAUGUAACAUUUUUUUAAAGAGAAUCUGAUAAGUGUUUUAACGCAAAGUAUUUAAUUUUUUAACGUUUUAAAAUAUAAUAUAGACCAGUAUUAAGAGUGUGAAACCACACAAAAUCAAUGUGCACAAAGUGCCGUAAUUCGUCAAGUGAUUGAUGUAUCAUCACCUAAAUACUUUGUUUGUAGUUUUAGGAAUUUAAUGACUUAAUAGCGUUGUUUUCGUCUUAAUAUUGUCAUCAAUUUAUAAAUUUUUGUGCUUUAAAGGACUCUAUUAACGGUUUUAAGAAAUCUUAUUAACAGACUGCAACUACUUGUUUAAUGAAAAGGGGACGACGUUUUGGCUUCUAUGCUGAGGCGGCUCAGUACAGAAGUCGAAACGUUGGCUCCUUCUCAUCCAGCAGACAGUUGUAGCCAAGUUAAGUUCUCAAACCUAUUAUGUCAACUCUGCCCAAAGUUCUACUGAAACAACGAAUGUCGUAAUAUUUUACGAACACGGUUUGUGACGUGCUUUUUCGUUAGUGUAUUCCAACGUACAGCAUUCUUAUAUUAACAGCUAUGCUUUACGUAAUAAAUACUUUUUACAAAAAAAAAACAAACUACAAUUGUUUUUCUUUUUCAUAAAAUCAAAUACUGCAGAUUGCAAUCAUCAAUAAGUUGUCAUACUUAUAAAAUAAUCGACAAAAAAAAAAGUCAAAUACAUAAGUUUUCAUAGUUUAACACAACACAGUUCCUGUAAUGUAAUCGAAAAAGGUAAUUACUUCUUAGUUAUCAAAAAGUUUACGAUUCAGAGUUUUGUCCUGAUUGUUAAAACACGCGAGUUUUAUUGAAUAAUUCAAUUUUCGUGUGUGUGUGUCUUCUCUAGUGAUAUUGUUUUUCCAUACUUUUUUUUGUAUUGAGAAGCAGCAAUUAAAUAAAUGAAGUGAUUAGUCAAUUUUGAUCUUUCAAGAGAUCUAGGACACGGGUAUGAUUAGAAAAUGAGCAUAAAACAGAAAUGAAGUAACAGUUCAAGGAUUAUAUUGGUUAAUGUAACAUAUCUUCCAAUAGCCCUAACUAUGGUAACAUACCCACUGAGAUCAACUGAUACUGAAAAUAAAUUUUUUGCCUUUGAAAUAAUAACAUUAUUAAGUUGCUUUUACAAUUAGAGUAGAACCUCCCCCCCUAAAAAAAACAAAAACAGACAGCCCAGUGUGCUGUUAUUAGUUUAUAUUUUGCAUUUUAUAAAUUUUUAUGGAUUCAAACUUCAGUGUAGUAUAUUAAGAAAUAUAACAACAUUACCUCAUCAUUUCCUCACAUAUGUAAUACUUUCAAUUCUUGUUUUAUAAGUAACUGAUAAUGAUUUAUGUUUUGUACAAAGAUUGAAGUUACACCAAAAAUCUUUUCUUAUAAUAGCCAAUUACAACUAACUCGAAAGCAGUAACAGCCAGUCUCCACAUAGUUCAGCGAACCACUACUGAAGAUCAUCAUCAGGCGAGGUCCUUCUGACACAACAGGAGGAGGAACAACCUCUCCACAGAAAACAUGAUCAUACUCAUCCACUGCAUGUCUUUCUUCUUGGCCUUGCAGAUAGAGCUUUAGGAGAACCCAAAGAAACAAUGAAAGAAGCAGAAAACAUGAAGACAAGAUAGAAUAGGCUAACAUAAUUAAAACUUAUAAUAUAACAAAAAAUAAAUAAAUCCCACCAGGAGGCCAGCUGGAAACCCUGUUUGUUACUGCUCCUUCUUACUAUGCUAGGAUUGGGUACUGCACAUGAAGGGGGGGGGGGGAGGAGAAAAAUAACGCUGAGUUUGGGGGCACCACUACAUAAAGUUUGGAAUCCACUGAUGUAAGUGAUUAUAAAAAAAGAAGAUUUAGGAAAGUAGGUCAGCAAAACAAAAAUCAUAUAGUUCUAUGGAUGAAAAACAUUCUCAGCUAAGUAAAGUUAUCUGUCCAUUACCACAAGGAUUAUUCAAAAUGUACUAAUUCUACACAUGCAUAUAUAAUGAAAUGGCAAAUUUUAUGUUUUCUAAAUGAGAGAUAAGUUGAUAUAUAAACUCAUUAGCAGGUCUGUGACAUGUAAACACUUUAAAAUAAUAUGAUGAAACUUAGU
rnacentral:lncRNA from 1 species